AGCUGAAGUUCAGUUCAUUAGAGUUUGAAGAAGAACUGGUUUAGGAAAACUAAGAAGACUAUGGUCCGUACAUCUCCUUACACUUACGAUAUGAGAAGGAUAUGCUUGCUUUCGGUGGAUGCACACAUGGUCUGUCUUCGGAUGAGGCUGAUGAACUAACCUUGAUCAGAGAGAACACUCCACUCUCGUGCCGACUUUUUCACAGGAAAAAAUAGCAUCAAUUGAGGAACUUGAUUACAUUGGUCGGUUGAAAGUGAUGUUUUUAUACCUUCAUACUCUGGAAACAUGGCAAGGGCAAUUGAGGGACACAUGCUUUUUCUGGUGCAUAGAAAAACAUUUUCUCCCGACAGAAAGGCGCUCGUGCAUCUGUUUGAUAGAGUAAAAUGAGGAUCACUUAAGGAAGAGAAUAAGUUAGGUGAUGAAAUUCUGGAAAUCCAUAGAAGACGGUUAAUUGAAUGAUGCUAUGUUGUGAGAUCAUAAAGGUUGGAGAACAAAGCAGCCAUUAGGUCCCUUAGCAGCUGCAAGAUUUGUAAGUUUCCAUGUAGUAUUUCCUUAUAGUGAUUUAAGUUGGGAGAACUUAGGAAUUUCGUAACUUUAUACGAACUGAACAUAGGAACUAAGUAAGUUUCUAUGUGUACACUAGUUUGUUGUGAUACAUACUUACUAUACAUUUGUAUCAAAUACUCAUACUUAUUGUUAAUUUCAAUUGAAGAAUCCUUUU